GGCCAAGCUAUUAAGGGUACAUGGUGAAUGUCUAGGCGUGACGAGGCGAAGAAGGACGUGAUAGGCUGCGAUAAGCCCAGGGGAGCCGUCAAAUAGGCUUUGAUCCUGGGAUGUCCGAAUGGGGAAACCCGUCGCCACAGUGCAAGCUGAUGGCGUCACCGGCGGAUGAAUGUAUAGUCCGUCGGAGCCAACGCAGGGAAUUGAAACAUCUCAGUACCUGCAGGAAAAGAAAUCAACCGAGACUCCGCAAGUAGCGGCGAGCGAACGCGGACAAGCCCAAACCGCCCUUCGGGGCGGGGUUGCGGNNNNNNNNNNNNNNNNNNNNNNNNNNNNCCGCAAGUAGCGGCGAGCGAACGCGGACAAGCCCAAACCGCCCUUCGGGGCGGGGUUGCGGGCGCUGAUCAGGAGUUACAAAGGCAGCGGCAGUUGAACAGGCUGGGAAGCCUGGCGAUACAGGGUGAUAGCCCCGUAAACCAAACCGCCUGCCCUCCGUUACGGUCAGCGUACCAGAGUAGCGCGGAUGCCGUGGAACUCCGCGUGAAGCUGGGGGGCCCACCCUCCAAGGCUAAGUACUCCGUCACGACCGAUAGCGCUUAGUAAGGCGACUGAAAGAUGAAAAGAACCCCUAUUAGGGGAGUUAAAAGAACCUGAAACCAUGUACUUACAGGUUGUCGGAGCCCUAUGCUCCUGGCUUGCCGGGAGAACGGGUGACGGCGUGCCUUUUGCAUAAUGAACCGGCGAGUUACCGUUUGCAGCUCGGCUAAGCGUCUAAGGCGCGGAGUCAAAGCGAAAGCGAGUCUGAACAGGGCGACACAGUUGCAGGCGGUAGACCCGAAACUGGGUGAUCUACCCAUGGUCAGGUUGAAGCGACCGUAAAAGGUCGCGGAGGACCGAACCCAUUAACGUUGAAAAGUUAUGGGAUGAACUGUGGGGAGGAGUAAAAGUCUAAUCAAACCCAGCGAUAUCUGGUUCUCUCCGAAAUAGCUUUUGGGCUAGCCUCGAGAGACAUACGUAUUGGGGGUAGAGCACUGGCUGAAACGCGGGGCCCACCAGGCUGCCGCCUUCAAUCAAACUCCGAAUACCAAUACGUUUAUCUCGGGAGUAAGACUACGAGGGAUAACCUUCGUGGUCGAGAGGGAAACAACCCAGAUCGCCGGCUAAGGUCCCCAAUCCAUGCUCAGUGCGUAAGGAAGUCGGAUUGCUGUGACAGCCAGGAUGUUGGCUUAGAAGCAGCCAUCAUUUAAAAAGUGCGUAACAGCUUACUGGUCGAGCAACUCGGCGCCGAUAAUGAUCGGGACUAAGCAUGGUACCGAAGCCGCGGACUUCUCCAGCUUGCUGGAGAAGUGGUAGGAGAGCGUAGCCGUCAGCAACGAAGGCGUACCGUAAGGAGCGCUGGAGCGGCGGCUAGUGAGAAUGCCGGUAUGAGUAACGAGAAAACAGGUGAAAAUCCUGUUCGCCGAAAGCCUAAGGUUUCCUGGGGAAGGUAAAUCCGCCCAGGGUUAGUCGGACCCUAAGUUGAGGCCGAAAGGCGUAGACGAUGGACAGCAGGUUAAUAUUCCUGCACUACGCGUGGCGGUUGAUCCGCAGAUGACACAUCUACAAGCUGGAUCCUCCCGUUAGUCGUGGAGGUUGGGAGCCCGGAAACGGGUUACCUCGUGCCCGAUUUGUUGGUGAAGUCCAGAGCGCAGGUGUCGAGAAAAGCUCUGCGGUGACAAAACGCGUAUCCGUACUAAAACUGACACAGGUAGGCGAGGAGAGUAUCCUAAGGCGCUCGAGAGAACUGUUGUUAAGGAACUAGGCAAUUUGACCCCGUACCUUCGGAAUAAGGGGUCCCUCCCGAUCGGUUUACUUAACUGUGGACCCUUCGGAGGGCGCAGAGAAUCGGAUCUGGCGACUGUUUAUCAAAAACACAGGACUCUGCCAACUCGCAAGAGGAUGUAUAGAGUCUGACGCCUGCCCGGUGCCGGAAGGUCACGGAAGCAGGUCAUUGGGGAGCAAUCCCUGAGAAGCUUGCAACCUAAGCCCCGGUAAACGGCGGCCGUAACUAUGACGGUCCUAUGGUAGCGAAGUUCCUUGUCGGGUAAGUUCCGACGUGCAUGAAUGGCGUAACGACUGGAUCCCUGUCUCAACAACAGACUCGGUGAAAUUACAGACGCGGUGAAGAUGCCGUGUUCCCGUGGCAAGACGGAAAGACCCCGUGAACCUUUACUGCAGCCUGGCAUUGACGCUUUGUGCUGCCUGCGUAGGAUAGGUGGGAGGCGUUGAACCCUCGGUCUCGGCCGGGGGGGAGCCAUCGUUGAAAUACCACCCUUGUAUCACGAAGCGCCUAACCUCGUACCGUGAAUCCGGGCGAGGGACCGUGCUUGGUGGGCAGUUUGUCUGGGGCGGACUCCUCCUAAAGAGUAACGGAGGAGCCCAAAGGCAUCCUCAGUACGGUUGGCAAUCGUACGUAGAGUGCAAAGGCAUAAGGAUGCUUGACUGCGAGACCAAUGCGUCGAGCAGAUGUGAAAGCAGGGCUUAGUGACCCAGCGGUCCCGUGUGGAAGGGCCGUUGCUUAACAGAUAAAAGGUACUCCGGGGAUAACAGGCUGAUCGCCUCCGAGCGUCCAUAGCGGCGAGGCGGUUUGGCACCUCGAUGUCGGCUCAUCACAUCCUGGGGCUGAAGGCGGUCCCAAGGGUUCGGCUGUUCGCCGAUUAAAGUGGUACGCGAGCUGGGUUCAGACCGGCGCGAGCCAGGUCGGUCCCUAUCUGCCAUGGGCGUAGGAAUAUUGCGUGGACUCUUCUUCAGUACGAGAGGACCUUGAAGGACCAACCUCUGGUGAACCAGUUGUCGCGCUAGCGGCACCGCUGGGUAGCUACGUUGGGAACGGAUAACCGCUGAAGGCAUCUAAGCGGGAAGCUAACCACAAGAUUAAUAUUCCAUUCGUCCUCGGACGAGAGAGCCCCCAUCUAGACCAGGUGGUUGAUAGGCCGGAUGUGUAAGGACAGAAAUGUCUUAAGCUUACCGGUACUAAUGGGCGAUUGCUUGGCCGC
rnacentral:rRNA from 1 species